CCAGACUCCUACGGGAGGCAGCAGUGGGGAAUAUUGGACAAUGGACCAAGAGUCUGAUCCAGCAAUUCUGUGUGCAUGAUGAAGUUUUUCGGAAUGUAAAGUGCUUUCAGUUGGGAAGAAAAAAAUGACGGUACCAACAGAAGAAGUGACGGCUAAAUACGUGCCAGCAGCCGCGGUAAUACGUAUGUCACGAGCGUUAUCCGGAUUUAUUGGGCGUAAAGCGCGUCUAGGUGGUUAUGUAAGUCUGAUGUGAAAAUGCAGGGCUCAACUCUGUAUUGCGUUGGAAACUGUAUAACUAGAGUACUGGAGAGGUAAGCGGAACUACAAGUGUAGAGGUGAAAUUCGUAGAUAUUUGUAGGAAUGCCGAUGGGGAAGCCAGCUUACUGGACAGAUACUGACGCUGAAGCGCGAAAGCGUGGGUAGCAAACAGGAUUAGAUACCCUGGUAGUCCACGCCGUAAACGAUGAUUACUAGGUGUUGGGGGUCGAACCUCAGCGCCCAAGCAAACGCGAUAAGUAAUCCGCCUGGGGAGUACGUACGCAAGUAUGAAACUCAAAGGAAUUGACGGGGGCCCGCACAAG
rnacentral:rRNA from 1 species